CAUGCCUUUGAAUUAAAACAUCAGCCGCCAUAAAACAUAUGGGUUUUCUUCUCCACAGAAAAUUUCCUCUUCGAUCUCCAUUGUCAUUUUUCAUCCUUAUACAAGCUACCCAUAUUGGUGAAAAAGAUUCAAAAGGUCCUGAAAGUCCCAAAUCUAAGAAUCAAAACUCUAUCUCUAUAUUUAUGUUGCUCCCUUUCUCAGCUAGAUCUAAUUUUUCUCAAAAUCCCCCAAAUCACAAGAUUUAAAUCUUAGUUUCUCAAUUCUUAAUUGAAGGAACAACUUUGCUGCUCCGUUUCUUUGCUUCCAGUUAGUGACCCAAAAUCUCAAAUCAGGACUAUAAAUAAUUUCGCAUAAAAGAGUCAUCCAGAGCGUAUUUGGUAUUGUUAUUGUGGAUUCGAUCUUGACAGAACUCUCAGUUAUUUCUUUUUUUGGGUAAGUUAAAGUUUCUUCUUGAAGACCUUUCUGGUGUUAUUGUGAUUGCAUGUCGAUAUUCCAUUAUUUUUAUUUUUUGUUCUUAUGUGGUUAUGGUGUAUUAAAGUAUAGACAUUUAUUUGGGUUGCCAAUAGGAACAAGCCUGUCCAUCAUAAAAAAGUACAUUUUUUAUUGACAAAAUUGGGAAUUUGGUAGUUAAAAAUGUACAUGGAUAUUUACUCUGGUCAUCUAAUGUUUCCGUCGAAACCAGAAAAUCUACAACUUGUAUCCUUGACGAUGGCAAUCUUGUCAUCCGUAACAAUGAUAGGAAUGCUGUGAGGUUAAAUUCUGCCUUGUGUGAGAGCUUCUUGCAUCCAACAUAUACCUUUUUGCCUAGAGUGAGAGUUUUCAUGGAAAGACAAGUCAAAGAGCGUAAAGUUUUCUGGUGUUGGAAAUAUGAGAGUGACCCUUCACCUCUAAAGUUAUAGAAUUUAAAAAGAUAGUGAUUUUUAAUUACAACAACUUAGUGUAUUCAACUUUGUGGCAUCAGUUUGGCUUAUUGGUAGAGACCAGAGAGUUGGCCUAUGGAUAGGUAAAGUAUGUAGACAAAUUCAACUAAAAAGCUCCUCCAAAAUCCUUAAUCUUGUUCAGUAGCUUUCUUUAGGAUGCUAGGCUUGAGAAGUGUUUUAAUUGUUAGUUACUACUAUUUUAUUUUUAACAAGGUCCGUACAACCUUCAAGCACAAAGUGAAAUUUUAAUGCAAGGCAAUGAGAUGCAUAUUCUUUCUCUUAGUCUCAACUAUUUCAUUUUGUUGAGAUGGGAAAAGACAUGACAUCUCAUUAGUGAUCUUAUGAGAAUUUAUAAAUUGCAGUGUGAAGAGUAUAAUAUUCUGGUGCAUUUUUAGUUUAUCACUAUAGAAUGUGCAAAGACUUCACUAUUCUGGUGCAUUUUCACUAUUCUUUUGCAUAUUCUGGUGUAUUUUUAGUUCAUCUCCAUAUGUUUCUUCCUUUGAUUGAUAAUUCUAAAAAAAAAAAAAGAAUGUCUAGCUGGUUUCCAUCCUUUAAUCACUUCUCUUAUUCGUGUUACCGAUCUUCUUAAGUUUAAUAUCACUUCACCUAUAAGAUUCCACAUAUGUAUUUUGAUAUUUAAAUUGAAUCAACCAACUGUAACUAUAAGCUAUAGACCUUGAAUGCAUAUAAAGAUUUUUCCUCUAAUGCCUCUUAGUAGGGAUCUAGCCCUGUUAAGGGAAAAUGAAGAGAUGUUUUCUUUUGAAAUAAAAUCUUGGCAUGAUCAUAUCUUUUCCAAGUCUCCAGACUGUAUAAGCUAUGUUUUGUUGGUCCUUCAUUAACUUGAACUAAGUGGAAAGUAUUUUUUUGUUUGUUUCCUUUUUCUCUGAUCAGUUGUCUAUGUCUAAAGGAACUUAACAUUCUUCAUGAUAAUUGAGGUUUAAAGUCAAUUACUAUUUUAUAAGUUUGAAUGACUUAUAAAAUGGAGGAAAGGAAAUUAUAAGACCUCCCUCAUGUUUUCUGCCUGCAUAAGUUUAAGAGUCUUGUUUCAGCUAUUAUUUUUCCUAAGAUUUCACUUACUUCCUUUCUAAAAGCUAUAUUAUGGUAAGAACUAAACCUCCUUGAGUUGCUACUUUGGCUGUUACUUGAUGGGUUGCUGCAUUUGAGACCUGCUGCCGUGUUCUUGAGCUGAAACGACUGCAUUUUGGGUCUUCUGUUUCUUCUUGUGUUCUACAAAAAAUGAACCGAUACUACAUUGAUGCCGCCUUGAAUGAGACUAGUUGUUGGCUGCUUGUUUGGCACACCCAUCGCUCAUAAGUUCUUGUUGUUUAGGCCCUUUUACAACUGUCUCUUGAGUUGCAUUUUUAGGGUAAGGAAAACACUGCAUUCUGGGCCAAAGUGUUGUUGCACUUUCAGGCAAACAGAUGCAACACUUGGAGGAAGUCAACUACUGUAUUUAAGGGCCGAUAAAUUUUUCGUUUAUGAACAACAUUUUCACUGCCUUUUGAGGGAAAACUACUGCUAUACCUUGGUGUUUACUCUUGAACGUGUUGCGGCUGGAGGCAAGCAACCACUAUUUGGGGCUAAAUGGUUGCUGUAUUUUCAGGCAUAAGGAUACUGCAAUAGAGAACUCUCUUUGUUGUUGGCUCAUCGUGUUACUUUGGCUGCAAAUCCAAGGGAAACAAAUGGUGGCUAUCCUUGUUAUUUGAGCCUCUGUGAUCAACAUAUUGUCCAUCUUGUGAGGAGCUGUGUUGUUACAUUUUUUUUUUUUUAAAAAAACUUGUUGCCCUGAAAAGAGCAGCUACACUUGAGGCCUGAAUCUGCUAAAGAUGAUUGCAAUCUUCAGCUACUGUUACGACUGGUUACUGUAGAAAACUGCUGCUAUGUCCUCUCUAAAGCAGAAGUUGCACUACACUUGAGCUGUUGUGUUAAAUUUUGCCUUGAGUUUCUAUUGUCUGCUGAAAUAUUCCACUUUCAUGGGAAUGAACAUGCUUUGGAAACGAACAGAUUCUUCAUCAAACGAAAACAACUGCUGUUGCUUUUCUUUUAAAGAACAGAAUGCUACACUUGAUGAAAUUUUACUGAUUUGAACUUUAUACUACAUUUGGGUGAAUGAAAAAAAUUACUUUUUGAGGCCAUGCCUAGUCCGGAAAGGUUAUCCCUCGGUUUAGACAAUGAUGAUCUCACAGUGAUAUCACGUGGUAGGAACCGACAUGCGCUUGGCAAGGCAACUAGAAUGUCCCCUAGUUUGCAGCCGCGACAUGAUUUUGGUUCUUUUGCCAUAUUCGGAAUCGUGAGUCUGAGCCUAUGUGAUCAAAGAUCUCAAAGUUUGACACGAGUUCGAGGGAUAUUAUUAUUUACAUUCAUAAACGUCACCCUAUCAUUUGACUAACUAUUUUCAUUUCAUUCCUGAGAGGUACAUCUAAUUAAUAUGGGUCUGCGAGAUGAGAUUCUACCAAAAACAAAGUGAAGUAAAGUGGUCCAGCAGGGACAAGGUUCUUAAACUAUCACAAAUAGAGACGAUCAAGGAGGAGUUUGAAGACACCUUAUGUUUUAUUUUUGUCAAAGGCAUCGAAGAAGGAGGCGUUUGUAGACAUCUAAUAUUUUCUUGUUUUUUGUCAAAGGUGUCGAAACAAGGAGGAGUAUGAAGACUGGAUACACUUCAUGUUUUAUUCCUUUUGUUAAUAUGUAAAUGCAUACAAUGGCACUAUGAUAAAGUAUUGGGUUGUGUAUGGUUAAUUGACUAUUUAGUAGGUAUUUAUUUAUAAUAUUCGGCUUGAGAAUGCUUUUGUUGUU